rnacentral:rRNA from 1 species
AUUGAACGCUGGCGGAAUGCUUUACACAUGCAAGUCGAACGGCAGCACGGGGCAACCUGGUGGCGAGUGGCGAACGGUGAGUAAUACAUCGGAACGUGCCCAAUCGUGGGGGAUAACGUAGCGAAAGUUACGCUAAUACCGCAUACGAUCUACGGAUGAAAGCGGGGGAUCGCAAGACCUCGCGCGAAUGGAGCGGCCGAUGUCAGAUUAGGUAGUUGGUGGGGUAAAGGCUCACCAAGCCGACGAUCUGUAGCUGGUCUGAGAGGACGACCAGCCACACUGGGACUGAGACACGGCCCAGACUCCUACGGGAGGCAGCAGUGGGGAAUUUGGACAAUGGCGGCAAGCCUGAUCCAGCCAUU